rnacentral:lncRNA from 1 species
AGACAGGAGGGGUACACCUAGAGGUGUUAUAUCAGCCCUACAGGCUCGUAGGUUGCUCAGGAGGGGUUGUCAGGGUUUUCUAGCUUAUGUCAGAGAGCUGGAUAGUCAUGUUAGAGAGCUCGCCUCAGUGCCCGUGGUCAGAGAGUUUUUAGAUGUUUUCCCAAACGAGCUGCCAGGUUUACCACCUGCUAAGGAGAUAGAGUUUGAAAUUGAAUUGAUGCCUGGAACCAGACCGAUCUCUAUCCCUCCCUACAGGAUGGCACCAGCUGAGUUGAAAGAGUUAAAAGAGCAGUUGCAAGAGCUGGUAGACAAGGGUUUCAUCCGACCGAGUACCUCACCUUGGGGUGCUCCAGUGCUAUUUGUGAAAAAGAAAGAUGGAUCCCUUAGACUUUGUAUCGACUACAUGCAGUUGAACAAAUUCACUACCAAGAAUAAGUACCAGUUGUCUAGGAUCGACGAUCUAUUCGACCAGCUAGCAGGAGCAGGUUAUUUCUCCAAGAUAGAUCUGAGAUCCGGGUACCAUCAGUUGAGAAUAAGAGAAGAAGAUGUGCCAAAGACAGCGUUCAGGACCAGAUAUGGGCAUUAUGAGUUCCUUGUGAUGCCGUUCGGGUUAACCAAUGCCCCUGCAGCAUUCAUGGACCUCAUGAAUAGAGUUUUUAGUCACUUUGUUAUUGUCUUCAUAGAUGAUAUCCUAGUGUAUUCCAGGAAUGCAGAGGAGCAUGCCCAUCAUCUGAGGUUAGUCUUGCAGAUCUUGAGGGAACACGGCUUGUAUGCCAAGUUCUCUAAGUGUGAGUUUUGGUUGAGGAGCAUUUCAUUCUUGGGGCAUGUUGUGUCAGAAAAUGGAAUUGAAGUGGACUCCAAGAAGGUGGAAGCUGUAGCUAACUGGCCUAGACCCACUACAGUGACAGAGAUAAAUAGCUUCUUGGGUUUGGCAGGUUACUACAGGAGGUUUAUUCAGGACUUCUCUAAGAUUGCAGCUCCUAUGACCAGACUGACUAAGAAGAACCAGAGGUUUGUGUGGACUGACCAGUGUGAAGACAGUUUUGAAGAGCUAAAGAAGAGGUUAACUUCAGCACCGGUGUUAGCUCUGCCAACUAGUAAUGAAGACUUCACAGUGUAUUGCGAUGCGUCCCGUGUGGGACUGGGUUGUGUGUUGAUGCAAAAUGAAAGGGUGAUUGCUUAUGCUUCUAGGCAGCUGAAGAAGCAUGAGUUGAAUUAUCCUACACAUGACCUAGAGAUGGCAGCUGUAAUCUUUGCACUCAAGAUGUGGAGGCAUUACCUUUAUGGGGUCCAAUGUGAGAUCUUCACAGAUCAUAAAAGCUUGCAGUACAUCUUGAGUCAGAGAGAGUUGAACCUGAGGCAGAGGAGAUGGGUAGAACUGCUCAGUGACUAUGAUUGCAAGAUCUAGUACCAUCCGAGUAAGCCGAAUGUUGUGGUAGACGCCCUAAGCCGGAAAUCACUUGGCAGUCUAUCUCAUAUUUCAGCAGAGAGGAGACCGGUGGUGAGGGAGUUUUAUAAGCUCAAUGAUGAAGGGCUACAGCUAGGGUUGUCUGGUACAGGUGCUUUGAUAGCCCAGAUGAGAGUGACACCUGUGUUUCUGGAGCAGGUGGCUCAGAAACAGCACGAGGACCCAAAGUUAGUAAAGAUUGCCAGGAUUGUUCAGUCAGGCAAGAACGAAGAGUUCAAAUUUGACAGCAAGGGGAUCCUCCGCUAUGGGAAUAGAUUGUGUGUGCCAGAUGACGUGGGUUUGAAGGGAGACAUUAUGAGAGAGGCUCAUAAUGCUAGAUAUAAUGUUCACCCUGGAGCCACCAAGAUGUAUCAGGAUCUGAAAAGGGUUUAUUGGUGGCCAGCUAUGAAAAGAGAAGUGGCACAGUUCGUGUCAGCCUGCGAAGUAUGUCAGAGGGUGAAGCUGGAACAUCAGAAGCCGGCUGGAAUGCUUAACCCACUGCCGAUUCCAGAGUGGAAAUGGGAAAAUAUAGCUAUGGACUUCGUAGUGGGGUUACCGGCAACGUCCAACAGAUUGGACUCCAUAUGGGUGAUUGUGGACAGACUGACCAAAUCUGCUCACUUCAUCCCUGUCAGGAGUGGCUAUUCUGUGGACAAGUUGGCGCAGGUGUAUGUUGAUGAGGUUGUCAAGUUGCAUGGGGUUCCUGUUUCAAUAGUGUUUGAUAGAGGGCCCCAGUUCACCUCCAGGUUUUGGCAGAGUCUGCAGAAUGCUAUGGGUACCAGGCUAGACUUCAGCACUGCUUUCCAUCCUCAGACGGACGGACAAUCAGAGAGGACCAUCCAGACAAUAGAGGAUAUGCUCAGAAUGUGUGUGCUAGAUUUUGGCGGUUCUUGGAGGCAGCAUCUACCCUUGGUAGAGUUUGCCUACAAUAACAGCUAUCAUGCUAGCAUAAUGAUGGCUCCAUAUGAAGCGUUGUAUAGAAGGAAGUGCAGGUCACCUGUCUGCUGGGAGGAAGUUGGAGAAAGGGCCUUGGCAGGGCCUGAGCUAGUAGAGAUCACCAGCAGAGUUGUGCCCAUAAUCCGAGAAAGGAUCAAGACUGCUGUGAGCAGGCAAAAGAGUUAUGCAGAUAUCCGCAGAAGGCAAGUAGAGUUUCAGGAGGGGGAUUUGGUAUUGCUCAAGGUGUCUCCUAUGAAAGGGGUGAUUCGGUUUGGGAAGAAAGGUAAGCUAGCUCCACGGUACAUCGGACCCUUUGAGAUCUUGCAGAAGAUUGGGAAUAUAUCGUACAAGUUGGACUUACCUGCUUCUAAGGAGAGAAUCCAUCCGAUUUUUCAUGUUUCCAUAUUACGGAAGUUCGUGUCAAAUCCGGGCAAGGUUCUUAGUGAGCCUGAUGUGGAGAUCCUUGGAGAUCUCACCUAUGUUGAGCAGCUAGUAUGGAUCUUAGACACCCAGAUCAGAAAGCUAAGGAACAAGGAAAUCCCGAUGGUGAAAGUCCUUUGGAAUCACCACAACGUCAAGGAGUGUACCUGGGAGACACGGGAGUCCAUGCUCCAGCAAUAUCCUCAUCUCUUCUAAGGUUAGUGUUAUGUGUUUUAUGUGUAUGUCUAUGUUUUAUGCUUUGCAUGUGUUGUUUGGUGAACAUUCGGGGACGAAUGUUCUUAAAGGGGGGAAGAAUGUAAUACCCGGCUAGACUCCGGUAUCGGAAUUCCUACCGUCCGGUGGAAUCUCGGAUGUCGAAAACCUCUAGAAGGGUAAAAUCAUGUUUUCAUAAAAUAUUUUAAUACAUUUUAAGAUUUUAAGUGAGAAAGAAAUUGAAUUUUGAAUGAAAAAGACCAUAGAGAGAAUUCUAGGUUCGGCCGCCGAAUUUGCAUGAGUUUUGGAGGCACUUUAGGCUUCCGAAGGUGGCCUGGCCAGCCCCUAUAAGAAGCCCCAUGGCCGAAAAUGGGCGAGUUUCUUCCCCAUUUUCGGCUAGAGGUGAGUCCAUGCUCUCCCACGGUUGGUUUUGAUGAUUUUCCUCAAAUCUUUCAAGUUUUAACGAGUUUUAACUUGGUUUUGAAGUUUUGAGCUAAAGAUCAAGCUUUUGGAGCUUGGAGACCCAAGGAGCUAGAUCUCUCCCAUCUCCGAGUUGGAUCGCCUCUCCUCUCUAUCUUCAAGAGGUAAGAGUAGAUGCUCAUCUUUUUUCAUGUUUUGGUUAAGUUUCAUGAAGGUUCAUGGGGUAGAAAUGCAUGUUUAGGUUUAUGUGCUUGUAUGGUUAAUGUGUGUUGUAUAUGUAUGUUUUGUGUUGUUGUUGGGGGUUUAGGAUAGUUUAAGGCCCCUAUAAGCUUAUUUGCUUGAGUAUGCAUGUUGUAGAAUAGCUAAAUGCAUGUUUGAAUUGUUUGGGAGGCAAAAUGUGCAUGAGGAGGCUGGGUUCUGCCACUUUGGGAGAACCCAGGUUCGGUAGCCGAAGGCCCUUUCAGCCGCCGAACCUGCUUGUGGAAACAAACUUUUGGCUGCCGAACCCUACCCCCGAAAGUGGACUUUCGGCUCUGGAAGGGAGUUUCGGCCGCCGAAGAUGCCGCCGAACAUGCACGAGUUUCGGAUCUGGAAGGAACCUUCGGCCGCCGAAAGUGCCGCCGAAGGUGCAUGACUUUCGGCUCUGGAGAGACUUUCGGCCGCCGAAUCUGCCGCCAAAAGUGCCCUGUUUAGCCUUCCUUUGCAUGAUUUCUAUGAUUGUUUUAAGGUGCUUUAAGGGGUUUUUGGGGAGUAGUUUAGAGUCAUGUUCAUGUAUGUUUGGUCCCUCAUUUGAGUCCACCUGUGUAGGUUCGGACUCGAGGAACCGAGGACCCCAGCAGAGAGAUAGCUGCUUCAGUGUCUUUUUAGAGCUAGCCUGAGGUGAGUAGAAUGACUCCUUAUGUUUCAAAGUAAAAUAAUGAAAGUUUUAGCAUGAUUCACGCAUUAUGAAUGCCAUGAGAUAUAUUAGGGUGCUUGCAUUAGAAUUCACGAAUAUGUUGCAUUGCAUGUUAUGUUGUUGAUGUGGAUGAAUGUUGGAUGAUACUUUAGCCCUCACUAUGAUAUGAGAUAGUGAUGAUACGGUAUGAAAGACCAGUGAGGCCCAUUCUACGCCACUGGCACUAUGUAAGUGAAAGACCAGUAAGGCCCAUUCUACGCCCCUGGCAUAUGGAAAUGUCAUGUUAUGUUAAUGUAAGCGAAAGACCAGUGAGGCCCAUUCUAUGCCCCUGGCACUAUUGGAAUGUGUAGAGGGCUAUUGGUGACAAGUUCAUCCUUGAUUGUGAUUUGUUUGUGAUGUGAUGCAUUCCAUGAGAUUAUAUGUUUUAAAUACAAUGCUUUAUUAUUCUGCUCACUGGGCUCUAGUAGCUCACCCCAUUCCCUUAACCCAGGUUUGCAGGUACGGGAUAGACCAGGAGGUCAACCAGAGUAAAGUCAUGUUUUAUGUAAUAGCUAGAUGUGGACAUGAAAAAUAUUGUAAUGUAACGUAUAGUACAGUAAUGUAAUAAAAUGAUGUAAAUUGAGGUUUAGAAUUGUGCUUGGCCCUAGUGUAUGUUAAUCCCUUUUUGGUACAUGAUCUUUUAAUGAAAUGUUUAAUGAUGCGCUUACGUAAUCCAAGCUUAAAAUAUGUAUGUUACCCCAUUGGAGCAUUUGAUGAGGGCUCCAGUGUGGGGUUUUAUGGUUAUGAGUUGUGCAUGCACAGGUUAAGCUUGAUGAAUGAAAUAAAAGUUUAAAUUCUUAUGUAAAUAUAUGAUCAUGUAUGGGAUUAAACAGGUAUACAGGAUGUAUGUUAAGGCUUGCUACGGGUCCCGGCGACCUUAUGUCGAUCUGGAUCCUAGCGCCGGUAGCGGUCCGGUUUCGGGGUCAUUACAAAGUGGUAUCAGAGCCCUAGCACUACAAAAAAGCUGUGAAAUUGUGACCAAAAUUAGCGACCAAAAUUUUUGGUUGCUAUAUAGCAACCAAUCAACGACCAUUCUGCUACUACAUGAAUGAAAUGAUAUUUUUAUUUAACAAAAAGCUCAACGAUCAAAAAUUAGUCAUUAUUUGGUCGCUAUUUAGCGACCAAAUCUUAAAUCGUCGCUAAAUUUAGCGGGAAUUAGUGACGCGAGAUAUUUGCGACCAUAUUUGCGACGAAAUUGCGACUACUUUUUGGGCGGGAAUAUUUUGCGACCAUAUUUAGCGACCAAUCAGCAACCAUUUCAUUUUUAAAAUUUUAAUUUAAUUUUUAAUUAAAUUUUAUUUUAUUUAAAAUUUUAAAUUUUAAAUUAAGUGAUUUCAAUUCGAUCGUUUUGACAAUUUAAGGAUACUCUAUCCUAAUCCCUAAUCUCUAAUCCCUAAUUAAUCACUAAUCCCUAAUAAAAUUAAUCCUAAUCUCUAAUCUCUAAUCCCUAAUCUCUAACCCUGAUUCCUAAUUAAUCUCUAAUUCCUAACAAAACUAACCUUAAUCUCUAAUCCCUAAUCUCUAAUCUCUAAUCAUUAAUCCUAAUCCCUAAUCCUAAUCCCUAAUCCCUAAUUCCUAAUCCUUAAUCCCUAAUCCUUAACAAAAUUAACCCUAAUCCCUAGAGGUGAGCAGAAAUCUGUUCAAACCGAAAAAACCGACCAUACCGAACCGAUUUGAAAAUUUGGUUCGGUUUUUUAUACAUUUCGGUUCGGUUCGGUUUUUAAUUUUAAAAUUUUUGAUUAUUUCGAUUCGGUUCGGUUUUGAUCAGAAAAAAUCAAAAAAAUCGAACCGAACCGAUUAAUGAUAAUAAUAUGUUUUUUCAAUAAUAUAGAGAAAUUAAAUCAUAUUAAGAUUAAAAUAUUUUAAUUAAAUUUUAAAAUACUAAAAAUAAAGUGUAAAAAAUAAAAAAAUUAUUAAAAAUUGAAAUCGAUCAAACCGAACUGAAUCAGACCGGUUCAGUUCGAUUCUAUUUCUGACCAAAAUUGGUUCGGUUCGGUUUUCAUAAACACUAAAAUUUCAGUUUUUGGUUUAUUUGGUUCGGUUCAGUUUUGAACAGAACCGACCGAAUGCUCACCCCUACUAAUCCCUAAUUCCUAAUCCCUAAUCCCUAAUCCCUAAUUAGCUAUACUAACAAAACUAACCCUAAUCCCUCAUUUAUUUUUCCAAUUUACUCGAGUCACACUUUCCUCUCUCCGUCGGCGCCUCUCUCCCCCGAUUUCCUUCCCAUAAUUCCGAAUCGACGGCUCUCUCUCCCACUUCACUGAAGAGUGCCGGCAGCCCAGUCGGCACCAGCGACGUCUCCUUUCUCUCCCCAGCAACGAUAAAUCUUCUCUAUCCCGAUAUCUCCUUCUCUCUCUCCAGUGGCGAUAUCUCCCACUUCCCGUCGGAGACAACCCUUGCCUCUCCCCAAUCGGCGUCGGCAACAUCUCCUUUGACUGGAACUCUCUUCAGGUUUGCAAUCAAAUUUUUUUAUAAUCAAGAUCUUUUAUGUGCAUGUUGUUAAAGAAUUUUUAGUUGCUAUUAAAGAUUUUUAGAAUUUUUGGACUAUUAAUUUGAUUAUUUGGAUACUGUUGAUUUUUAGAAUUUAUGGGCUGCAAUUCAAAAGUAUCUUCUUACCUUAUUCUGUGCAAUCACUUUUCCCGCCUGCCCUCUAUUGUAAUUUUAGCCUUUUUAAUGGAACCAUUAUCUGUCCCCUUGGAAAUUCUGGUCCCUCUCUCUCUUUUUAUUUUUCUUUUUUAUUUUAUUUUAUUGGCUUUUCUUCUCUCUGCAUUUUGAGUCUUGGUCUUCGCUUUACUCAGUUUCUCCUCUAUUAUCUGUUUAUGGCUUCUCCUCAAUUUUCAUUUGUUUAUUUAUUUCAAACUUUUUUAAUUUUUCGCGUUCUUUUCUUAUUUUUCCCAUCUUUGUUUGUUCGGUGGGGUUUUAGUUUAGGAUGCAAUUUUGGAAAUUUUUCUUUGUCCCCAUUGUGGAUUACUGCAGUUUGGAGAUGGAGUUUAAAAGUGGUUAUAAGAUUUUCCCAAUCGAGAGACACAUUGCUGGUAAGAUGAUUUCGGUUCAAUUUGAGUACUAUUAACACAUUCUUCAUUAGGAAUUUAAUUGAGAACUAACUCAAGAAUGCCAUUGUAAGACUGUCUUUGUUAUUGGAUUUGAUGCAACUUGGAGAUGUUGCCUCUUUUUAAGCAAUUGGAUUUGGGGCUUGAGAUAUUUUAUCCUUGAUAGCUCAAUCAUUUUGUUUUUUUUCUUUUGCUUGUUCAUGCGAUAUGAAUAUUUUGUGAGUACAGUUUUUAUUUGUCUUUGACUUUUGUUAAUGAAAGAAAGGCUUAGGUGUUAUUGUUGAUAGUUGAGCUUUUUACACAUUUUGCUGCUAUUCAGAUUUUGGAACAUAGGAUUUAGGUUUAGAAUUUCAGGUGGAUUAUAAUUUUAUUAAUAAUCAAAAAUGUUAUUUUUGACCGAUUUUAAUAAUCACACAGUCAAAAAGAAAAAAUAAUCUAUAAUUUGAUACGGAUAAAGAAAAAUAACAUACUUUUAUAUAGGUUAAAUAGAUUUUCUUUUCGAAGGUUUAGUAGAGUAUUAAAUAAGAAGAUAGUCUAUAAUUUGACACGGAUAAGAAAAAAUAGUCUAUAAUUUGACACGGAUAAAAAAAAUCAACAAGAAUUAAGUGGUAAAAUGUUGAUUUUCAAUGUUAUGAAUUUACUUUGUUUACGAAUUAUACAUUCCAAAUUACAAAUUAUUUAAUGUUUUUUAUUCUCAAACAAUAUUUAAUUUGUAAAAAAUAAAACUAUCAUAAAAUAUCAUUUUAAUUAGUAUUAAAAGUAUUGAUAUUAUAAUAUUAUUAAUUUUAAUAUUAAUAUAUUAAAUUUAUAUUAUAUAUUAUUCAAUUAAUAGUUUUUAUAUUAUAUAUUAUUCAAUUUAUAAUAUAUAUGAUAAUAUUAAUUUUAAUAUUAAUAUAUUAAAUUUAUAUUAAUAGUUUUUUAAAUUAAGAUUGAAAUACUAAGAUUAAAUUAAAAAUUACCUAUGUUAAAUUAAUAUUACCUUAAUCAAUUAAUUUUAGUUAAACGACGGAAUAUUAUGGAUAAAUUGCAGAGUAUAUGAAUAACUAAAAUUAUAUAUACUAAAUAGUGUAUAUAUUUAAAAUUAAAAUAAUUUAAUCAGUAUUUUCUUGGAUAAAAAGAUUAAAUAACUUAACUUUAUUGUAAUUUAACUUAAAAAUAUUUAAUUAAUUAAUUAAUUUUAAUAAAAUAUUAAUGCUUUAAUAAUAAUUUGCUAAAAUAUAAUAUUGCAUUAAAUAAAAAUAUAGUUUUACAAAGCACAAACCUGAACUCAACUUUCUUAUCUCAAUGUUCAGGUUUAUAGUUUUUUCUUAUCUCAAUGUUUAGACUUAUCAGUUUUAUUUAAAAAGAUUAGGUAUAUAUAUUUUAAUAAUAAUUUUAAAAUUAAUAGUAUAUAAAUUAGCAUUUGGCCCUUCUAAAAAAUUAAAUAUGAAACUAAAAUAUAUAUAGUUUGAUAACUUUUAUAUUCAUUUAAAAUAGUAAAAAAUUAAUCAAUACUUAAUUUAUUAGUUUUUCUUAAAUUAUCUUUUAACUUUGAAAAAUUAUAAUUAUAACAAAUUUAAUGUUGGAAAUUAGUUUUAUUUUCAAUUGUAAGAAUACAAUUAUAACAAAUUAAAAUGCCUCUAUUAACUCCUAAAACGAGAUAAAAAUAAAAAUUAUAAUUACCAUCCAGCUAAUUCACUUUAUUUAUGUUAAUAUGAAACUCAACCUCAUAGGCUGCAUCAGGGUUUCAUAUUUUUUGAUCCAGUGUGUUUGGAUGGAUUGUCCAUAGCUGCAUUUCAUAAUAAGGUAAGAAGAUACUUUUGAAUUGCAGCCGUUUAUAUUAACAUGCUGUGCAGCAACAACGUGCACAUGCUGUGCAGCACUGCACUUGCUACAAGUGCAACAGCAAGCAUCUGCUGUGCAUAAAUGCUGUGCAGUGCAGCAUUGCACUUGCUGCAAGUGCAGCAGCAAGGUGCACAUGCUGCCCAGCAAUGCACUUGCAGCCAGUACACUAUGCAUAGCAGCACUUACUACAAAUGCAGUCUGAGCUACUGUUGUGCACAACAUCACUUGACCGAUUGACUGUAAUUAAAAUCAUAAUCAAAAUUAUCUCAAUUUACAUUAAUUCCUCCUCCCAUUUUUAUGAAUUUAAUUUAUAUAUUUUUACUAUACAUAUCUUAUGUAGGAAAAUGAAUGCCAAUCGACAGUGGAUGUAUAAUAGGCUCAAGGAUGGGUUGUUGAAUACUGAAUUUUUAAACGGUUUAGAGGAGUUCAUACAAUUUGCUUCAACCCAUCCUGAAUGUAUGGAUGGUAUGAAUAUAAGAUGUCCUUGUAGUAUGAGAAGGUGUUCGAAUCGGAGGUUCCUCUGUGUGGACGAUGUACGAUAUCCGAUAUCAUCUAAUGAAAAAUGGUUUCGUCCCUAAUUACUAUAGGUGGACAGCACAUGGUGAAUGUUGGGAUGAUCAAGGAACCUCUAGUGUGCUAUUGUCUGAAACUAUCAUGGAAAACGAUUUUCAAACUGGGGCUAAUGGCCGAUACCAUGAAAUGGUACUUGAAGGGUUUGGUUUACCGCCUCAAAUUGAAUUCAUGGAGGAGGCACCUAAUGCCGAGGCACAAAGGUUGUAUGAAAUGUUACAAGCAGCAAGUGAAGAGUUAUGGCCAGGAUGCAAUAAGCACACAAAACUGUCUGCUGUGGCACGUUUGAUGAACAUGAAAUCGGAGCAUCAUUUCUCUGUAAAAUAUUUUGAUCAGAUUGUCGAGUUUUUGAAAGAAGUUCUACCCGAAGAUAAUGUGCUUCCUGAUAAUUUUUACAAAACGAAAAAGUUAAUUGAGGGUUUGGGUCUACCAGUGGAAAAGAUUGAUUGUUGCAGAAAUAAUUGCAUGAUAUAUUGUUCUGGUGACGCUGAGUUACAAGAAUGCAAGUUUUGCCAGCUUCCUAGAUAUAAACACACGGUAAACAGCUUGACAAAGCAAGUUGUUCAGAAGCCAUAUAAGAAGAUGUAUUACUUUCCUCUCACUCCAAGGUUACAACGGCUUUAUGCAUCAGACGCAACAACACCCCAUAUGAGAUGGCAUGCUAAACAUGAAUAUGAGGAAGGGGUCAUGCAUCAUCCAUCUGAUUCUCCUGCAUGGAAACACUUCAAUGCAUGUUAUCCAUCAUUUGGAUCAGAGAUAAGGAAUGUGAUGCUUGGAUUGUCUACUGACGGAUUCCAACCAUUUGGACAAUCUGGCCAACAAUACUCAUCUUGGCCCAUCAUUCUGACACUGUAUAAUCUUCCGCCAUGGCUGUGUAUGAAGUCAGAAUAUAUAUUUCUCACUGUUAUAGUUCCAGACCCAAAUAAUCCUAAAUUUAAAAUUGAUAUAUUCUUACAACCCUUAAUCGAAGAACUAAAACAAUUAUGGAACAUGGGGGUUGAGACAUAUGAUGUGGAUAAGAAGCAAAAUUUUCUCAUGCGGGUUGCUUUGCUAUGGACCAAUAGUGACUUUCCUGCUUAUGCCAUGCUUUCUGGUUGGAGCACUGCAGGAAGGCUUGCAUGCCCAUAUUGUAUGGAUAACACUGAUGCAUUUACUUCGCCACGAAGGCUUGCAUGCCCAUAUUGUAUGGAUAACACUGAUGCAUUUACUUCGCCACGAAGGCUUGCAUGCCCAUAUUGUAUGGAUAACACUGAUGCAUUUACUUUGCCAAGAGGUGGCAAACAAUGUUGGUUUGACAAUCAUGACAAAUUUUUGAACCAUACUUGCAAUACUACGCUGAAUUUGGUGAAUGAAUCAAAAUUAAUUUUAUAUGUUCACUUUUUGUAAUAGGUACAUGAACCAACCAACACAGUGAACAAUCCUCUCAUCCAAGAUUUAGCCAAAGGACCUCUAAAUAUAGUGAAUGUGUACACAGGAUACUCUAUGUAAAUGGAUACAAAUUUCAUACUGAGGGACGAAGUGCUAAUCGAAUGACGGUGAAUUGUGGUGUAUGCAUUAAAGGAACGAACUAUAGUGAUCAAUCAAGUGAUUACUAUGGUAAGUUGAUAGAGGUUCUUGAAGUAGAGUACCCGGCUUUACCUAUGAAGCGGACAGUUCUAUUCCACUGUGAAUGGUUUGAUCCUACCCCAAAUGUUGGAGUGAAAAUUCAUUUAAUGUAUAAUAUUAUGGAUGUAAAUCAAAGAAGGAGAUUUCAUAAGUAUGAGCCAUUUGUUUUGGCUAGCCAGGCACAACAAGUUUAUUACAUUCCUUAUCCUUCUUUAAGACGAGCAAGGUCUGAUUGGCAAUCUAUGAUAAAAAUUAAAGCCAGGCCAGUGAUUGAAUUACUAAAUGUUGUACCUUCGACAGCGUCAACAACAGAUGCAUAUUAAGAAGAUACUGUAACUUUGCAGCCUUUAGUCUUAAAUGAAGAAGGAUUACCUGACAUUAAAUGAUCCAGUGGGUGGUGAAGUGUUGAUUUCGGAAUUAGUUGAAGAAGAAGAAGAAGAUGAGACAUAUCAUUAUUCAACUUCAGACAAUGAUGAAUAUUACUUAGAUUAGUCAACUCUAAGCUGUAUAGUAAAAUUUUUUGCUCUAAUUAUCUUUUUUAUUAUUGUUGAUUAUUUUUACUUUUACAACAUACUAAUCUCCUGUUGGAUUUUUUUUGUACAGAUAUGGCCAGGGGUAAAGGUAAAGAAGAUGCACGUAAUGCUGAUCGUGGUGUUUUAACGGGUACAGGUAGAGGCCGAGGCCGAGGUGAUCCAGAAAUUGUUCGUGGUUAAGGCAUUAUAGCCAUUGCACCUUCUUCAGCUGACUUUAGAGCCCCAGCACUUACUCCAACAACCCCUGUAUCAUACUCAGCCCCUGCAGCCCCUCCAUUUGCUCCAGUUGCCCCCACUGCCCCAACUUCUUCAAGUUCUGUUCCUGGAUUGAGUGCUAGUCGAUCUGCAUCCUCAUCCUCAUCACAUGCUACUAGGACCUACUGUUAUGUGCAUGCAAGCGGAAAGUAAGUAUAAUGUAUAACAUUACUUAUCAUUGUAUUAUAUAUCUUUGUUAUUAGUUUUCAUUUUGGUUAAUUAUUUAAAAAUAAUUAUAUUGAAUAUUUAUAAAUUAUGCUCGCAUUAUUAAACUAUUACAGUCUUAUGCCUUCUGAGAAGACAUCUAGUGCCUGCACAAAGAUUUUUCAAAAGUACAAUAUCGAGAAGGGUUCUUCCUGGAAGAAUAUCCCAUAAUCCACAAAAGAUUUUUAUUUCAGAGAGUUUGAGGUACGCAAUAUAUUAUGCAUUCUAAUAAAGAUAAAAUGUCUUAUAAUCUAUGUUGUAUUGUAUAUGUGUUUUUUAAAUUAAUUUAUAGAAAGAAUUUCACUGGGAUGAGGGAAGUGCUGCAAUAGUAAGGAAGGCAUGGAAUAAAAAAGCAGCUACCCGAUACAAAGACCUUCUGACAAAUGAAAAGAAGAAAAAAAAGAGGAGUGCUUAUAUAUCAAAUGAAGUUUGAGAUAAAUGGAAUUUAGAUUGGAGUACUCCAGAGUAUGUAGCAAAGUCAAUGAAGUACUCAAAGAACUGCCUAACAGAGAAGGGAGGUGAAGGAGCUGGUCCUUCUAAACAUACAAGUGGGUCCAUAACACAUGAGGAGCAUGCUAGACGCAUACAAAAUGCUAAGACAGACAAAGUUCCUCCAACAGCAGCUGAGUUAUUUCUCCACACCCAUACAAAGAAGAGUGAUCGCAAUAAAUUUGUUGAUAAACGAGCUGAAAUUGUUUAUGUAAGUUUCUAUAUAAAUAAGUUGUCUUUCUAAGUAAUAUCUUGCAAGUAUGAUUUUGAUGUCUAUGUGAUUGAUUUUUAGUUGUGUCAUUGAUUUUAAGUUGUUGAUUAAUUUUGAGUUGUGUGAUUGAUUUUCAGUUGCAAGUGCGAUUCUGAUAUCUCAGUUGUGUGAUUGAUUUUGAGUUGUUGAUUGAUUUUGAGUUGUGUGAUUGAUUUUCAGUUGCAAGUAUGAUUAUGAUAUCUAGGUGAUUCUCACAAGGAAAUUGUUUAUGAUUCCCAGUUGUGUGAUUGAUUUUGAGUUGUUGAUUGAUUUUGAGUUGUGUGAUUGAUUUUUAGUUGCAAGUAUGAUUCUGAUAUCUAGGUGAUUUUCACAAGGAAAUUGUUUAUGAUUCCCAGUUGUGUGAUUGAUUUUGAGUUGUUGAUUGAUUUUGAGUUGUGUGAUUGAUUUUCAGUUGCAAGUAUGAUUCUGAUAUCUAUGUGAUUCUUGCAAGGAAAUUGUUUAUGAUUCUCAGUUGUGUGAUUGAUUUUGAGUUGUUUGAUUGAUUUUCAGUUGCAAGUAUGAUUCUGAUAUCUAGGUGAUUCUCACAAGGAAAUUGUUGAUGAUUCUCAAUUGUGUGAUUGAUUUUCAGUUGCAAGUAUGAUUCUGAUAUCUAGGUGAUUCUCACAAGGAAAUUGUUUAUGAUUCUCAGUCGUGUGAUUGAUUUUGAGUUGUGUGAUUGAUUUUCAGUUGCAAGUAUCAUUUUGAUAUCUAGGUGAUUCUCACAAGGAAAUUGUUUAUGAUUCUCAGUUGUGUGAUUGAUUUUUCUAUUAUGAUAUCUUGCAAGUAUUGUAAAUGUGAUAUCUUGCAGGUAUUAUAAUUGUCAUAUGUUGUAGGUAUUAGCAUUUUUCCUUACUUUAGUAUUCAAAUUGAACUGUUAUUCUGUGAUUUUCUAGGAAAAUUAUCUGAAGCUAAAAGAACAACAUUCAAGCCAAUAUGUGGGAUCAGAUAAUGUGGAAGGAGAUGGAGGAACUAUUAAUGAGGAUCAAUUGUUCAUUACUGCAGCAGGAGGAUGGCAAGGAAGUCGAGUUUAUGGUUUAGGUAGUGCUGCCUCUUCUGCCUUCUCUCAAACAGGAACUGGGGGAACAUCAACAAAUGUUCCAUCAUCCCAAUCACCAGAAUGGAAGAAGGAAAUUGAAGCAAAGUUUGAAGAGAAGUAUAAUAGUUUGCAGAAACUUGUAGAAGACCAAAAUCAAAUGAUAGCUCAAAUGCGUGAUUAACUACAUGCAGCGAAGAUGGGACAGCAGUCUUCCUCAUUGAUGCCAUCAUCAUCUGAUAGUCCUCUAGCUCAUAGAUCCCUUGGUGAUUCACAUAUGGAUUAGCAUGAUGUCAUUACUCACUGACUUAAAUAAUAUAUUUUAUGAUAU